AUUGAACGCUGGCGGCGUGCUUUACACAUGCAAGUCGGACGAGUGGCGAACGGGUGAGUAACGCAUCGGCACGUACCGAGUAAUUGGGGAUAACUAUCGGACACGACAGCUAAUACCGCAUAUUAUUCGAUCGGCCGAUGUCGGAUUAGCUGGUUGGCGGGGUAAAGGCCCACCAAGGCGACGUUCAGUAGCGGGUCUGAGAGGAUGGUCCGCCGCACUGGGACUGAGACACGGCCCAGACUCCUACGGGAGGCAGCAGUGGGGAAUUUUGGACAAUGGGCGCAAGCCUGAUCCAGCCAUGCCGCGUGUCUGAAGAAGGCCUUCGGGUUGUAAAGUUCUUUCGGUUACGAGGCGUUACUCACAGAAGAAGCACCGGCUAACUCCGUGCCAGCAGCCGCGGUAAUAC
rnacentral:rRNA from 1 species